CACCGCGGUUAUACGAGAGGCCCGAGUUGAUGAACAUCGGCGUAAAGUGUGGUUAGGACUUCCCCAAUAUAAAGUGAAACACCCCCAAGACUGUUAUACGCUCCCGGGGGCAGGAAGCCCAUCAGCGAAAGUGACUUUAGAUCUCCGACCCCACGAUAGCUGUGAUA
rnacentral:rRNA from 1 species